UAUUCAACAGGAACAAAGCUGGAAACUAUUUUUUUCUCUCAUUCUUCCUAUCAUAUUCUUUCCAUUUCUCUUCUACAAGAGAGAUCCCAACUAAAUUAUGUAUUAGAGCACCGUCUUGAGUUAAAUACUUAGACCCAACUUAAGUGGGUGUUUAUAUCCAUUGAAGUCACUUGAACUAGUUCUCCAACUGGCUUCUCAAAGCUCCCAAUCUCCUACAAAAUCAAAAUCUUGAUUGGCUGGAUCUCGGUUGCUUCCUCGCAUGCCUUCCAUAGUCACUGGAAGCCAAACUCCACUCCAUUGACAAGAUAACCUCCCCAUCCUUGACUAAUGACGCCUCUUUGAUCCUUCUCAACCAUCCUUGAUCUCUCCUUCAUGAAUCUCGUUUUCCCACCAGAUUUGUUUCUCCAAGGCUAGCUAGUUCUCCAAAUGAAUUUUUUAAGGUCCUAAAUCUUUGAAAAGGAGAAUCCAAACUCUAUUUUGAAGAACUGAAGGACUGUAUUGGAUUCAUUUAUGGGACCCAUAUAAAUGCAAGGGUUGGUGCAAAUCUAGAUAACAAUGUCUUACGGGCACCGAGUGUGAAGUGAAAGUGACACCAAACAAAAAAUGCACAAAAGAGAUGGAUAAUGUCUUAAUACCGUUUCUUACAGUUAUGACAAAGAGCAGUAUGAAAGUUGACAAAUCAUUCAAAAGUUGGUUGCUGGGGAUUAUCACACCACAAGUGAUCAAGCAAGAUCAAUCUACCACCAAUUUGGCUGUGCGAACCCAGAAGAUGAUAAUCCAUCUACUCCUAAUAUGCCAAUGGAUUGUGAACCUUUAGAGACUUUUGGCCAAAGACAAGAAGUGCCAAGAUGAUUUGCAAGCAAGAGCAUUGCUUGGACUAGCCCCACAGCAAUCCCUAAUAAUGAAAAUGUUGCGAUAGACAACCUUAAGGAUAAGGGUGGUGAGUUGGUAGCAUCAACUAAAGAGGCCAAGAAGAAGACAUGGAAGAAGAAAUUGUCAUAAGCUUUAUGGAGCACCGAAGGCUAAAGUGAUCUAGACAGAUAUGAUCUUUAAGAGAUUGCAUGGCAACAAAGAUCUUGUUGAUGUUUUUUACUUGAGGAAGCCAUCUUUGUGCAAAUUGUGAUUGGACAUCUUUAUUGCUUUUGUGAGAGACUUCAGCAUGUGAGAAUGCUUUUACGUAAGUAUGUAUUCACUUUAUAUUUAAUUACGUCAAGUGAAACUGCUCUGUUUGUAUUUGAAAUAGUUCCUAACUUAUUUUAAGACAUGGAAUUUAAGAUGUCAACUUGGAUGGAUGAAGGAUCAGCUGUACAUUUUCUUCUA